rnacentral:lncRNA from 1 species
UUUCUUUAAAAAUUCACGAAUAAUUCGCGAAUUUACUAACAUAGGCCCAAUUGCAUCAAAAUAAUAUAACCCUAAGUUUUUCUUAAUAAUCUAAUUUGCUUACAUCAGUUAAUAUGCCAUAUUAGUCAACAUUUUCUUUCGAAAGGUACGUAUCCCUAGGAAUUGCAUAACUUCUGAUUGAGGAAGUGACAAUAAUGCCGCUAUUUUGGGUACGUCUAUUUUUUUCACAAUCUUUAGUUAGCGAGCGGUUAAAAAUAAAUAUGGCACAGAAUGCUUAUUGCAUAUGGUGUCAUAAUUUCUACUAGGUCUACUAUAUAUCGUCUCAACUCCUUUAAGAUAUCUUGAACAAAAUAUCAGGCACUUCACCAAAUAUCCUUCGAUGAUUGAGCUUUCAGGAUGAGCUUUAUUAUAAACAUUUGAUUUCAAUCUAAAUAGAUUCUUAAAUUGGAUUAAUACAAAUUA